CAGCCGCCACGGGAAUACGAAGGGUGCAAGCGUUAAUCGGAAUUACUGGGCGUAAAGCGUGCGUAGGCGGUUUGUUAAGUCUGUCGUGAAAUCCCCGGGCUCAACCUGGGAAUGGCAAUGGAUACUGGCAAGCUAGAGUGUGUCAGAGGAUGGUGGAAUUCCCGGUGUAGCGGUGAAAUGCGUAGAGAUCGGGAGGAACACCAGUGGCGAAGGCGGCCAUCUGGGACAACACUGACGCUGAGGCACGAAAGCGUGGGGAGCAAACAGGAUUAGAUACCCGAGUAGUCCCUGUCUCUUAUAC
rnacentral:rRNA from 1 species